GGAAUGUUGUUCGAGUGGUUUAAUAUGAUAGUUUGCUAAACUAUUUAGAUUAAAGCUUACACAGGUUCGAAUCCUGUGCAUUCCU
rnacentral:tRNA from 1 species